AGCCCUGGGCAAUUCACCUUUUCUUUAAAUACUCAUGUCACAUUUGUGCUGUUGCCAAUGCUUCUCAGACCCUCCAGAUGAGGACAUUUCCCUGAGGAGGUGGCUAUGAUGGUAGAACUUACAAGACUUCAGUGGACAUAAGGAAGCAAGGAGGCUCUGCAAAGUAGUCUGCAGUGAAAGUGCAGAGAAAGCUGAAGAUGGGGCCCAGGACUUAAUCAUCAGAGCAGCAGAGCACCUAAAGUUAAACUUCCAGCCAUGCAGGCUUGAAAUGCCAAGGUACGAGCCCAAGGGCACGUCCAAUGAACAUACUGCACAUUGGGCUCCAUCUCAGAGCCUGCUUCCCAAGAAUUCGACCUGUGGCAUGGGUAGGGCAAUGGCCAGCCACAGUCACAGAGAUUUUUCCAUAAUGAGAAGACUCUUGUUGAAGGUUUACCCUAGGCUGGAAUGACAAGAGAGAAUCUGGAAGGUACCAGGGAGACGGGGUCAAGGUGGCAGGCAAGAUGGUCAAAUAGAAGUAGCUUCAGUCUGCAGCUCCCAGUGAGAUCAACACAGAAGGAAACAAUGCCAAGAAUACGUUAAUCUAAACCCAUGAUGUUUCUACAUCUCAAAGAACAGAGAGAAAAGGAAACUGGAGAGAGGCCAGAAGUGACCAACUCUAUUCCCUCAUUUCUGUGUUAUACUCCCUUUGUCUAAUCUUCCCUACCCUACCAGGUGGUUUAAGAAUUUUAUCCUUUCUCCAGACUAGAAGAGGAAGUGGGGGCCGGAAUUAGGUGUAUACAAAUUGUUGGAAAGCCUUUGUGUGGAUUUGGAGGGCUGAAGUAGAGUAUCAUUUUUACAAAGCAGCCCAAGCCUCUAAUCUGAGCAGGAAGAUUCACACUCAUUCUCUGGCAUGAGUCCUAUCAGGAGGAUCAAUGAAGCCAAGGCUGUAGAAAUAAAUAAUUAAUCUCUCCACCCAAGGAGGCUAGUAAACAAUAUUCAAUACGUGAAUACUGAGUUCUGCCAAGAGGAAGAAGCAUAUAAACCAGGCAACUGCUGAACGCAUUGCCAAAAAGGGAGACUUACGCAUCAUUCACUAAAGCUUUCCAAAAACUAAAUCAGAUCCAAGAACAGAUAAACUCCUGCAGAAUGACAAUGGUGGAGAAAUUGACCUCCCAGCAUUGCAGACUUACAUCAGUUGUUCUGAUGUUCUUAGUUAUAUCAGAUUCCUUCCAGAAUCUUCUAAAUAUAUCAGACGGUCAGACACAACCCCAGGCCCUAAUAAAAAACCCUGAUGCUGGCCUA
ensembl:lncRNA CASC17 cancer susceptibility 17